AUUGAACGCUGGCGGCAUGCCUUACACAUGCAAGUCGAACGGCAGCACGGGAGCAAUCCUGGUGGCGAGUGGCGAACGGGUGAGUAAUAUAUCGGAACGUGCCCAGUCGUGGGGGAUAACGUAGCGAAAGCUACGCUAAUACCGCAUACGAUCUAUGGAUGAAAGCGGGGGAUCGCAAGACCUCGCGCGAUUGGAGCGGCCGAUAUCAGAUUAGGUAGUUGGUGAGGUAAAGGCUCGCCAAGCCGACGAUCUGUAGCUGGUCUGAGAGGACGGACCAGCCACACUGGGACUGAGACACGGCCCAGACUCCUACGGGAGGCAGCAGUGGGGAAUUUUGGACAAUGGGCGCAAGCCUGAUCCAGCAAUGCCGCGUGCAGGAUGAAGGCCU
rnacentral:rRNA from 1 species